rnacentral:rRNA from 1 species
AUGGCGUCGGGAUCAAGCUCGAAGGGGCGGCAUGGCAAGGAGACGACGGAGGAGCUGCUAGCCAGGUUGAAUUUGCAGGAGGAGGAAGAUGAUGAUUUCGUGUGGGAGGAGGAGUUGCCGGAUCUGGGGGCGCCGGCGAAGUGGCUAGCCAUAGCCAGGGUACACACUACAAGGACUUUCAGCCCUAAUGCUCUUUAUGGGGACAUGCGUGCAGCCUGGAAUCCAGCGAAAACGGUGGUCUGGAGGAAGGUGAAGGACAACUUGUUCACAGCGCAGUUUGGUUGUCUAGGGGAUUGGAAUAAGGCCAUGCUAGAGGGGCCAUGGCUUUUCAGAGACCAAGCAGUGAUUUUGGUGGAGUAUGAUGGGUUCAAAAACCCUGAUAGCAUCAAGUUGGAUAAGUUGGCAGUUUGGGCGCAAAUCCAUCGUUUACCUGACAACUUUUUGAUCGAGCCUGCAGUCAGGGGGAUGGCAUCGCGAAUUGGCGAGGUGGAAGAAGUGCAGCUCAAGCUACCGGCAGGUUUCUUUGGUGAAUUUGUCCGGGUGAGGGUGAAAACGAUAUCAACGCAAAAAUUAAGAGGUUUGUCACUGGAAAGAAGGGGGAUGAACGAGUUAGAUAUCAAGUAA